AGAGUGUCAUAUUUGCGGUAUGAUUCCUUGUUUGUAUUUUCCUAUUAAGUACAUUGUGAAAAAUGGAAUCAUAUUUUCAUGAAGGUAUUUUAAUUGUUCUCUUUUGGAUCUAGUGAACGUUGAUUUUGACGCAUUUCUUGUCAAUACUUGUGUGGAUUGUUGCAUUCUCCUUUAAGAUUGUUAAAUUUUAAUUUUUUUUUUCCUUGUGUUGGUGUACAUCACCAAUGAGAAAGGGUUUGUAAAAACCAUGUGGUAAAUGUUCUACUAUGUAAAUGUGAUAAAUUAAGGAGACCUAAAAUGACGUGGAGGG
rnacentral:misc_RNA from 1 species